CCUACGGGCGGCAGCAGAGGGGAAUAUUGGACAAUGGGCGAAAGCCUGAUCCAGCCAUGCCGCGUGUGUGAAGAAGGCCUUCGGGUUGUAAAGCACUUUCAGUGGGGAAGAAAGCCUUGGGGCUAAUACCCUCGAGGAAGGACAUCACCCACAGAAGAAGCACCGACUAACUCCGUGCCAGCAGCCGCGGUAAUACGGAGGGUGCGAGCGUUAAUCGGAAUUACUGGGCGUAAAGCGCGCGUAGGCGGUCUGAUAAGCCGGUUGUGAAAGCCCCGGGCUCAACCUGGGAACGGCAUCCGGAACUGUCAGGCUAGAGUGCAGGAGAGGAAGGUAGAAUUCCCGGUGUAGCGGUGAAAUGCGUAGAGAUCGGGAGGAAUACCAGUGGCGAAGGCGGCCUUCUGGACUGACACUGACGCUGAGGUGCGAAAGCGUGGGUAGCAAACAGGAUUAGAUACCCCUGUAGUC
rnacentral:rRNA from 1 species